rnacentral:lncRNA from 1 species
AUGGCCCGGAAAGGUGAUAGACUUCAAGCACCAACAGCAGGAAGUGGAGCUGAAGGUGGCCCGAACAGGGCACAUGAAGGAGGCCCUGAGACCAAAUGGUCUGAACAGCAAACUGCUCAUAAGGGAGAGCAGAGAUUCUCUGGGCUCAUCCGGAGAUGCCCUUGCGCCGAUGAGCUUCCUAAUUUCAUCCCCCAUUCUGUCUGGCCCCCAGACCAGGCCAUAGAUUUAUUCUGGAUCACAGAUGCUGGUCUCAGAAAUACCUCAAUGAGACUUGGUGUGCAGGGAGCUGCUGGGUGACAAGGAAAUGGAAACACUGAGGCCACCCUUGGAAGUAUGACUGGAAGGCUUAACUGGGAAUUCAUAAGUUACAGCUUUAGUUCCACUCACUGAACUCAACAUAUGACCAAUGACUG